GAGUAAAUCAAUAGGUGUGGUUUUACUGAAGGGGGUGUAGGUGGGGGAAGGCUCUAUAAAAUUUGAGCAGAAACAGUAUACAGAAAGUUAUGAGUAAAUAAGCAGAAACCUAGAAGAAAACAGCUACAAGUGUGUUAGCUACUAUUAUAGAAAGAAAAGAUCCUAAGAUACCAAACAAAAGAUCUACGAAUGGGAAAAAUAAAUUCACAGAAGUAAUAUUACCAAAGGAGAAAACAAACCCAGGACACGAGCUUUAUGGCAAUUCAGACUGAAAAGAAAAGAUCCCCUGAUUCUUCAGUCGUUCCAUGCAUAGCACUCAUUGUGAAAUUAAUGGGAAUUUUGUGUAUAGAAGGCCUUCUGGCAAAAAAAGCUGAUUUAUUAUUUACAAAGAAGAAUUGCUACAUUUGAGUUCCUGAUGGCUAAAUAUCCUAUGCUUUAUUUGGAAUGUUGUCGAUGGAGCCCUCCACAGAUCUCUCCAUUAGAAGAUGUUGUGACUCAGUAUGGGAAUUUUCCACAUCUGUUAGGAAACUGCUACAGAUGGUUCAACUCAUUAGUUGACAGAACUCCUAGUGAACAUCACCGAAGAGUACUGGGACCUCACUUGGACUAAAUGUUAAGCUUGCCUCCUGUUCAGCGCCAUUACAUUUUCUCUAAAAUAAGAUCCUUAACCAAUUCUAUUGGACCCAGGAUACACUUUUAAAUGCAGCCAGACUGCAAUCCUGUUUUAUACAAUUGGCAAAUGUGACAAAGUUAAACAGCACCAGUUGUCAUUGUACAGGCCUCUAUCUAAGGAUUGUGCCUCAAACAUACCUUGUAGUAUCUUUUAAAUCUUUAUUGCAUCUGCUAUUAUUGCAUCUCUCAAAUGAUAUAAUGAACUUUAAAAAAAUAAAGUUUUACAUUUUUCUAUUUUAUAUAAUCUUAGCUUGAAAGUAAACAUUUUUUUUCUUUACCAUUUUUGUGCUUCUCCCUUUGGCAAACACUGAUGCAGUAUUUCCCACCUCAUUUCCACCCAACCUCAUGUUUGUUUUGAAGUUGCUCCAUGUUUGUAUGUCAGCAUCAUCCAUGUCAGAACAAUUAUGGCAACAGUUUGUUACUUAAUUUCUUCAGCGGAGCCUGCAGGAGCUCACACUUUGCUAUUGUUGCUUUUCACAGGUUUAGGGCCAAAUUUUCAGCCUCUAAUUUUGAAUACAAACAUUUUGAGUAUACAGUUAAUGAAUUUGCAGGCACAAACAGGUGGUACAAAUGCAGUAAUGGUAGAAAUUGAUUCAUGAACAAUUUUAUACUUUCAAAAUGAGCUUUGAUCCUGCAAAGCCUUACAAUGGGUUUAACUUUAGGCACUGGGAGUAGUCUCAUUGACUUACACUGAACCCUGGAGAUAAAAAAAAGAUUUACUCAAUAGAGAUGUUCCAUUAUACCAUGUAAUACAUGUUUUUAAAAUAUGCAUUUUAAUGACAGGUUAGAAUGGCUUCACACUUUACAAGGUCAAGCCCUUAAUAAAUCACUAUACACAUUACACAUAUACGACCUGUCGGGUGAAAUGGCUUAAAAAAGACCGUUCUGGUCUAUCAGGUAAAUAUUGGAUACUUGGAGAUGUGUGUGUAUAUUUAACAUGUAUAUAUGUUAAAUAUACCAUGCAAAAGAUCCUAUAUGGUUGCAUAUUUAACCAUAGAGACUCAGAGAGCAGAAUUACUCCUGUAUCAUUCUUAUCUCACAGGUAAAUAGCCCACAUUUUGUGCCUGAUACUGAAGUCAAUUGGAGUUUUGCCUACAUCAGGGUUGGACUUUGAAAGAUUUUGUGUGUGUUUAAAGAAUGCAGUGAAUUAAGUAUUAUCCUGAAGUCUGGCUAUUAUGUUUGUCUGUUUAUGUCACAAUUUAAACUUUAUUUAAAUGUGGGGUUUUUUGUAUUUAGCAGUAUGACACUAUGUGGUUGGUUAAGCCAGGCUGGGUUGAUUAUCACUAAAGUGUUAUUUAUUUCUAUUUUAUUAAGCCCCUUUUUACAUUCAU